CUGAGUCUCCUCUAACCCUGAACUUCGGUCUCCCUGCAGGCUGGGGGCCUAGCCCGAGCCCCUGUGGAGGUAUCUGGGGUGGGGGAUAAUCAUGUCUCCCACAUCUCAACUCCCUUGGCCCCUUCUCCCUGUGGCCCCUCUUGGUGGUAAGCCCACUUGGGGCUGGCUACAGCCCUCCUUGGGGAUAACUGCUCACACUGGCAGGAGGCAGGCAGGAAGGGGGACCCCUUAGUGGGGGCGACAGCUGGAUGGAUGACUGGGCUCCCAUCAAAUCUGACACACUCAUCACCCAACUCCACAGAAGACCCAAAGCCUGUGCUGCCAGAGGGGACAGGGUGGCAGCAGCUCUCUGAAUGCCCCAGGCCUGAGAAGGAGUGGGUGAGUGGGCAUCUGGCUGCCAGGCCCCAGUCAAGCCGGGACCCCCUCCCCCCGGUUAGAGGCCUCUAGACAGACACAGCCCCUAUGACAAGCCUGGAUACCUGUGCCACCUUUAGGGGAAUGAGUCUGUUGCACUGCGGUCUCUGACUGCCCUCAGCUCCACAGGGCCCACGUGAAUCCCUGUGCCUAUGAUUCUUAGCAACCAACGAAGUUCAUUUUGUCCCCACCAGUCUAUUCUGAGCACCCCAAAAGGGAUCAUUUGGAUGGGGCUGGGAGGGGCAACCAGCACAUGGACAUUUGCAAGGUGGGGCCUGGUUCUCAGUCCAGGGUGCCCCCGGCGGACUCACAGCACCGAGAUGAAGAUGGGGACAGACACCAGCUUUAAAAUAACCUCAAAUAAAUUUGCCCACAAACAGUGUCCCAAUCACCCUACAUUACAUUCUCAGGACCAGGGGAGGACGUGCUAAAACAGCACAACUCCUUGG
rnacentral:lncRNA from 1 species